rnacentral:rRNA from 1 species
AGCGAACGCUGGUGGCAGGCCUAACACAUGCAAGUCGAACGAACUCUUCGGAGUUAGUGGCGGACGGGUGAGUAACACGUGGGAACGUGCCUUUAGGUUCGGAAUAACUCAGGGAAACUUGUGCUAAUACCGAAUGUGCCCUUCGGGGGAAAGAUUUAUCGCCUUUAGAGCGGCCCGCGUCUGAUUAGCUAGUUGGUGAGGUAAAGGCUCACCAAGGCGACGAUCAGUAGCUGGUCUGAGAGGAUGAUCAGCCACAUUGGGACUGAGACACGGCCCAAACUCCUACGGGAGGCAGCAGUGGGGAAUCUUGCGCAAUGGGCGAAAGCCUGACGCAGCCAUGCCGCGUGAAUGAUGAAGGUCUUAGGAUUGUAAAAUUCUUUCACCGGGGACGAUAAUGACGGUACCCGGAGAAGAAGCCCCGGCUAACUUCGUG